rnacentral:rRNA from 1 species
UACAGAGGUCUCAAGCGUUGUUCGGAUUCAUUGGGCGUAAAGGGUGCGUAGGCGGCGCGGUAAGUCGGAUGUGAAAUCUCGGAGCUUAGCUUCGAAACUGCAUUCGAUACUGCCGUGCUUGAGGACUGGAGAGGAGACUGGAAUUUACGGUGUAGCGGUGAAAUGCGUAGAUAUCGUAAGGAAGACCAGUGGCGAAGGCGGGUCUCUGGACAGUUCCUGACGCUGAGGCACGAAGGUCAGGGGAGCAAACGGG